GGCAAGGUAGCCAAGUGGUAAGGCGCCAGCCUGCAAAGCUGCGUAUCGUGAGUUCAAAUCUCACCCUUGCCUCCA
rnacentral:tRNA from 1 species